rnacentral:rRNA from 1 species
GAUGAACGCUGGCGGCGUGCCUAAUACAUGCAAGUCGAGCGAACAGACGAGGAGCUUGCUCCUCUGACGUUAGCGGCGGACGGGUGAGUAACACGUGGAUAACCUACCUAUAAGACUGGGAUAACUUCGGGAAACCGGAGCUAAUACCGGAUAAUAUAUUGAACCGCAUGGUUCAAUAGUGAAAGACGGUUUUGCUGUCACUUAUAGAUGGAUCCGCGCCGCAUUAGCUAGUUGGUAAGGUAACGGCUUACCAAGGCAACGAUGCGUAGCCGACCUGAGAGGGUGAUCGGCCACACUGGAACUGAGACACGGUCCAGACUCCUACGGGAGGCAGCAGUAGGGAAUCUUCCGCAAUGGGCGAAAGCCUGACGGAGCAACGCCGCGUGAGUGAUGAAGGUCUUCGGAUCGUAAAACUCUGUUACUAGGGAAGAACAAAUGUGUAAGUAACUAUGCACGUCUUGACGGUACCUAAUCAGAAAGCCACGGCUAACUACGUG